UCAUUGUGGAGAACUUUCCUUCUUACAGAGACGAGGCGUGGUUUGAGCUCGUGGAUCCCAAGUAUGAGUUCUCAGCUCCGGUCCCACGGCCUUGCCUGCCUGACACUGCUGCGCUCCCUGCCACAAUAGUAAUGGACCAAACCUCUGAAACUGUGUUUUGGGUCAAGCUGUUUCACCACAACAUCAGCCCCAACUAAGACGCCAAGGUACAGCAGCAGCCAUCGAUGUCGUGUAGGAAAUGUCUUAUGUGAUUCAUCUUCAGCUCGAUUUCCACUGAACACCGAAGUACGUUAAACUGCAGGCUGCGUUCUGUUACUGAGUUAUGAAGUUGGUUGUCUGAGGAAGAAGUCCUGGAGAGUGAACUCUGUGCCUUGUGUAUUCUAAACGCAUGCCCAACCACUGUACUGCACUCCUUCGUGCCAGUGAAGUGGAUUUUCGGGUUGUGGUCAACAUUAAGAAAAGUUGAGUAGAAUAGGAUCAG
rnacentral:lncRNA from 1 species